AGCAGCCGCGGUAAUUCCAGCUCCAAUAGCGUAUAUUAAAGUUGUUGCAGUUAAAAAGCUCGUAGUUGAAUUUCGAGAUCAAAUUGUUGGUCGUGCCUUGGUACGCACUGGCAUUAUUGGUUUCUCCCUUCUGACGAACCAUGAUGUCAUUAAUUUGGUGUCUUGGGGAAUCAGGACUGUUACUUUGAAAAAUUAGAGUGUUUAAAGCAGGCUCACGCUUGAAUACAUUAGCAUGGAAUAAUGAAAUAGGACGUUUGAUUCUAUUUUGUUGGUUUCUAGGAUCGACGUAAUGAUUAAUAGGGAUAGUUGGGGGCAUUAGUAUUCAAUUGUCAGAGGUGAAAUUCUUGGAUUUAUUGAAGACUAACUACUGCGAAAGCAUUUGCCAAGGAUGUUUUCAUUAAUCAAGAACGAAAGUUAGGGGAUCGAAGACGAUCAGAUACCGUCGUAGUCUUAACCAUAAACUAUGCCGACUAGGGAUCGGAUGAUGUUAAUUUUAAUGA
rnacentral:misc_RNA from 1 species